rnacentral:tRNA from 1 species
GCAGUGGAGGUUCAGUGGUAGAAUUCCUGCCUUCCACGAGGGAGACUUGGGUUUGAUUCCCAGGCAAUGCG